rnacentral:rRNA from 1 species
UAGGGAAUCUUCCACAAUGGACGCAAGUCUGAUGGAGCAACGCCGCGUGAGUGAAGAAGGUCUUCGGAUCGUAAAGCUCUGUUGUUGGUGAAGAAGGAUAGAGGCAGUAACUGGUCUUUAUUUGACGGUAAUCAACCAGAAAGUCACGGCUAACUACGUGCCAGCAGCCGCGGUAAUACGUAGGUGGCAAGCGUUGUCCGGAUUUAUUGGGCGUAAAGCGAGCGCAGGCGGAAUGAUAAGUCUGAUGUGAAAGCCCACGGCUCAACCGUGGAACUG